GUGCCGGUAGUGCAAUGGUUAGCACGCGCCCCGGAAGGAGUGAAACACGUGUUCGAAUCUCGUCCGACAUU